ACACAUAAUCCUCUUAUUUAACUUGACUUGUGUCCUUACUAAACUUUAGUCCUGGCUCGACUCCAGAAUUUUUUGUGUUCUGUGGUGGUAGUGGAGAGAUCUGUUUUAUUAUUCUCGCAUGCACAUAUAUAUGAUGUAAUUUAGGGUUUCAUAGUUUUAUUUCGGAGUAGCCGAUAAAACACAUCUCUUGUACUCAUCUUUGAUAUAGUGGAUUUUCCGUCCUCUACCUGUGGUUUUUUUUCGUCUUGGAUUUUCCCGUCAAUCUGUGUGUUCUUGUUCUUAUUUUUCUAGCGCCUAUUUUCUCUUUUAUGUAACGAAGUUAGUUGUAUAAUUUGUGGGAGAUUUUCUCACUCAAAGGACAAUAUUUUUCGCUUUUUACUGAUGCCCAUUUGAUCUUCUUACAUACAGGACCUGAGGGCAAUUCUUGAUGGGGGCAAGAAAUUGCCUUUUCCCGACGGAGUUCUUAUUAACGGUCGUGGUCUAAAAAACACAUCUCUUGUACUCAUCUUUGAUAUAGUGGAUUUUCCGUCCUCUACCUGUGGUUUUUUUUCGUCUUGGAUUUUCCCGUCAAUCUGUGUGUUCUUGUUCUUAUUUUUCUAGCGCCUAUUUUCUCUUUUAUGUAACGAAGUUAGUUGUAUAAUUUGUGGGAGAUUUUCUCACCCAAAAGACAAUAUUUUUCGCUUUUCACUGAUGCCCAUUUGAUCUUCUUACAUACAGGACCUGAGGGCAAUUCUUGAUGGGGGCAAGAAAUUGCCUUUUCCCGACGGAGUUCUUAUUAACGGUCGUGGUCUAAAUGGUGCCUUUUUCACUGUCGAACAAG
rnacentral:lncRNA from 1 species